GCCUCUGUUUUAUGUUUAUGGUGUUUUAUGUUUAUGGUGUACUAGAGACUUCUGUGCAGAUAUUUGUAUGAAGAUGAAGGUGUCAGUCAUUCUUGAAAUAAGCAGAGCUAUUACAUACUUUUCCUGUGGCUGUUAAACUACCAUUGAAGAGUAUGGUAAAAUUCAGUAGAAAUCUACAGUCUCUUUCUGCACAUUUGAUCUAGGUGGGGAUAUGUAUUACUUUAAGAGACUUAGAAAGUAUCUUUGAUUACUAUAGUUCUCUAAUCUCUGCCUAGUUGUAUCAGUUACAAAUGCAAAGGUAAACCUUAUACAUGUACUUUAUAAGUAAAGCUCUAGGAUGUAAGGUUUACUUUGACUUGCAUACUGUAUUCUCCUGUUCCCAGGAAGUUUGCAGAGUAAAUAAGACAGGCACAUGAUUAUAAAAGAAAACAGAAAAUGUUAAGUACCAAGAGGAAAGUACUGAUUAAGUGGUAUACUGAGUAAAAUAUUAACAGUAUAAACAUCUGUAUAUAAGGAAUAAAGGAACCAUGGGAUGA
rnacentral:lncRNA from 1 species